rnacentral:rRNA from 1 species
UGGGGAAUAUUGCACAAUGGGCGCAAGCCUGAUGCAGCCAUGCCGCGUGUAUGAAGAAGGCCUUCGGGUUGUAAAGUACUUUCAGCGGGGAGGAAGGGAGUAAAGUUAAUACCUUUACUCAUUGACGUUACCCGCAGAAGAAGCACCGGCUAACUCCGUGCCAGCAGCCGCGGUAAUACGGAGGGUGCAAGCGUUAAUCGGAAUUACUGGGCGUAAAGCGCACGCAGGCGGUUUGUUAAGUCAGAUGUGAAAUCCCCGGGCUCAACCUGGGAACUGCAUCUGAUACUGGCAAGCUUGAGUCUCGUAGAGGGGGGUAGAAUUCCAGGUGUAGCGGUGAAAUGCGUAGAGAUCUGGAGGAAUACCGGUGGCGAAGGCGACCCCCUGGACGAAGACUGACGCUCAGGUGCGAAAGCGGGGGGAGCAAACAGG